AGUCGAACGGCAGCGCGGGGCAACCUGGCGGCGAGUGGCGAACGGGUGAGUAAUAUAUCGGAACGUACCCUGGAGUGGGGGAUAACGUAGCGAAAGUUACGCUAAUACCGCAUACGAUCUAAGGAUGAAAGUGGGGGAUCGCAAGACCUCAUGCUCCUGGAGCGGCCGAUAUCUGAUUAGCUAGUUGGUGGGGUAAAGGCCUACCAAGGCAUCGAUCAGUAGCUGGUCUGAGAGGACGACCAGCCACACUGGAACUGAGACACGGUCCAGACUCCUACGGGAGGCAGCAGUGGGGAAUUUUGGACAAUGGGCGCAAGCCUGAUCCAGCAAUGCCGCGUGAGUGAAGAAGGCCUUCGGGUUGUAAAGCUCUUUUGUCAGGGAAGAAACGGGUUUUUCUAAUACAGAGACCUAAUGACGGUACCUGAAGAAUAAGCACCGGCUAACUACGUGCCAGCAGCCGCGGUAAUACGUAGGGUGCAAGCGUUAAUCGGAAUUACUGGGCGUAAAGCGUGCGCAGGCGGUUUUGUAAGUCUGUCGUGAAAUCCCCGGGCUCAACCUGGGAAUUGCGAUGGAGACUGCAAGGCUAGAAUCUGGCAGAGGGGGGUAGAAUUCCACGUGUAGCAGUGAAAUGCGUAGAGAUGUGGAGGAACACCGAUGGCGAAGGCAGCCCCCUGGGUCAAGAUUGACGCUCAUGCACGAAAGCGUGGGGAGCAAACAGGAUUAGAUACCCUGGUAGUCCACGCCCUAAACGAUGUCUACUAGUUGUCGGGUCUUAAUUGACUUGGUAACGCAGCUAACGCGUGAAGUAGACCGCC
rnacentral:rRNA from 1 species